rnacentral:rRNA from 1 species
GGCACAAGCGGUGGAUGAUGUGGAUUAAUUCGAUGCAACGCGAAGAACCUUACCUACCCUUGACAUGUCCGGAACUUGCCAGAGAUGGCUUGGUGCCCGAAAGGGAAUCGGAACACAGGUGCUGCAUGGCUGUCGUCAGCUCGUGUCGUGAGAUGUUGGGUUAAGUCCCGCAACGAGCGCAACCCUUAUCACUAGUUGCUACGCAAGGGCACUCUAAUGAGACUGCCGGUGACAAACCGGAGGAAGGUGGGGAUGACGUCAAGUCCUCAUGGCCCUUAUGGGUAGGGCUUCACACGUCAUACAAUGGUCGGUACAGAGGGUUGCCAAGCCGCGAGGCGGAGCCAAUCCCACAAAGCCGAUCGUAGUCCGGAUUGUUCUCUGCAACUCGAGAGCAUGAAGUCGGAAUCGCUAGUAAUCGCAGGUCAGCAUACUGCGGUGAAUACGUUCCCGGGUCUU